AUUGAACGCUGGCGGAAUGCUUUACACAUGCAAGUCGAACGGCAGCACGGACUUCGGUCUGGUGGCGGGUGGCGAACGGGUGAGUAAUGUAUCGGAACGUGCCCAGUCGUGGGGGAUAACGUAGUGAAAAUUACGCUAAUACCGCAUACGAUCUAUGGAUGAAAGCGGGGGAUCGCAAGACCUCGCGCGAUUGGAGCGGCCGAUAUCAGAUUAGGUAGUUGGUGGGGUAAAGGCCCACCAAGCCAACGAUCUGUAGCUGGUCUGAGAGGACGACCAGCCACACUGGAACUGAGACACGGUCCAGACUCCUACGGGAGGCAGCAGUGGUGAAUUUUGGACAAUGGGCGAAAGCCUGAUCCAGCCAUUCCGCGUGCAGGAUGAAGGCCCUCGGGUUGUAAACUGCUUUUGUACAGAACGAAAAGGUUUCUACUAAUACUAGGAGCUCAUGACGGUACUGUAAGAAUAAGCACCGGCUAACUACGUGCCAGCCGCCGCGGUAA
rnacentral:rRNA from 1 species